rnacentral:rRNA from 1 species
CCUACGGGGUGCAGCAGUCGAGAAUCAUUCACAAUGGGGGAAACCCUGAUGGUGCGACGCCGCGUGGGGGAAUGAAGGUCUUCGGAUUGUAAACCCCUGUCAUGUGGGAGCAAAUUAAAAAGAUAGUACCACAAGAGGAAGAGACGGCUAACUCUGUGCCAGCAGCCGCGGUAAUACAGAGGUCUCAAGCGUUGUUCGGAAUCACUGGGCGUAACGCGUGCGUAGGCUGUUUCGUAAGUCGUGUGUGAAAGGCGCGGGCUCAACCCGCGGACGGCACAUGAUACUGCGAGACUAGAGUAAUGGAGGGGGAACCGGAAUUCUCGGUGUAGCAGUGAAAUGCGUAGAUAUCGAGAGGAACACUCGUGGCGAAGGCGGGUUCCUGGACAUUAACUGACGCUGAGGCACGAAGGCCAGGGGAGCGAAAGGGAUUAGAUACCCGAGUAGUC